rnacentral:lncRNA from 1 species
GCCGGUCCACAGACCUGUCGGGAGGGCCAAGCCCAGAUGCCCUUUUCUGGGUAAUUCCAGCGUCCGAUGACUUCUGGGCGACGGCCGCAGCCACUUGUUUUGGAUCUUUCUGGCACCUUCUCUAUUAUUACGCCUGCGUCACCUCGCUCCUCCUCUUUCGCCCAACUCGCGCAGGUGCGACCGCCACGCCCCUACGGCGCAAGCGCAGAAUGAGACCUCAAGCUCCACCCCUUCCAGGACUCCAGAUCCGCCCCUAACCCAAGCGUCCGGACUCUCCCGUGCUGCGCUUGCGCAAGAGGAAAACCUCGCUGUGUCUUGCUCUUGAUGGUGGUUUCAGGCUCGGUGUGUGUCCCCUGAAUCCUAUGACACAACCUGGUGGAAUUAUUCAUCCCACAGACUACCUCUUCCUCCUGAUCACGACCUAGACACCCACAUGACCAGUGCCAACAGCUGGCAGCGCAAAGUAAACCAGUCACGAGGGUCCCGACUCCCUGGAGCGCUCAAGGCUCAUAAUCAGGACUUGUAAUACAGUAUGCCCCAUUCUUAGGUGGCAACCAGAAACCUACAACUCAACUCUGCUUUCUCAGAUCCUACAUGGAAAUUCUUCCUCAUACAGCUCCCCAGCCCCAAUUUAUAAAUUCUCCGGUCGCAAGCAGAAGAAUGAUACCUCUUCCCAAAUCUCAAUAGACCUUGCCACCCCUGUGUGCAGCACAUUCCGAAGGCGUCCAUCAGCACCUCCUAUCAUAGACACCCACACCCACGGUUAGAACAGCCUUUGUACAAUCGCUUCUGAGCCCUCUUGAGUCUUGGAGCCACCCAGAUGCCCCUCCUAACCUGCACCUAUGAGAGCAAUCCUGUCACAGAAGUGGAGGCUAGGGUGUCUUCACGUCCCCUACACGAGGCCUUGAGCGUGACGGUCGCUCCUCCUCCCCACUUAGGUGACUCAGGGUCAGGACCAGCACGUGCCUAAGACAGGUCUCUUCUAGGACUGGUUUCCACCCCCGGAAUUGUCUCCCUAAGGGGCGGGAGGUUCUGGCUCAAUGCUGGCUGUUUGUUUCCCUUUUCUGGGCCUUAGCUUUUCCACCUGUGAAACGGAUGGCAGUGGAGUCCACCGUAUGGGCUCUGUGUGUGAAUAUCAUUGAAUCAGACGAAAAAUGGGAGGAAGGGGAAAGCUAUUUAUAAACGGUAAAGCUUC